GGGGUUGUGGCUCAGCGGUAGAGCGCUUGCCUCCCAGGUGUGAGGCCCUGGGUUCGACUCUCAGCACCA
rnacentral:tRNA from 1 species